GGUUAAGCGACUAAGCGUACACGGUGGAUGCCCUGGCAGUCAGAGGCGAUGAAGGACGUGCUAAUCUGCGAAAAGCGCCGGCGAGGUGAUAUGAACCUUUGACCCGGCGAUGUCCGAAUGGGGAAACCCAGUGCAAUCCGUUGCACUAUCGUUAACUGAAUACAUAGGUUAACGAGGCGAACCGGGGGAACUGAAACAUCUAAGUACCCCGAGGAAAAGAAAUCAACCGAGAUUCCCCCAGUAGCGGCGAGCGAACGGGGAGCAGCCCGGAGUCUGAAUCAGCUUGUGUGUUAGUGGAACGGUCUGGAAAGUCCGACGGUACAGGGUGAUAGUCCCGUACACGAAAGCACACAUGCUGUGAACUCGAAGAGUAGGGCGGGACACGUGGUAUCCUGUCUGAAUAUGGGGGGACCAUCCUCCAAGGCUAAAUACUCCUGACUGACCGAUAGUGAACCAGUACCGUGAGGGAAAGGCGAAAAGAACCCCGGCGAGGGGAGUGAAAAAGAACCUGAAACCGUGUACGUACAAGCAGUGGGAGCCUCUUUAUGGGGUGACUGCGUACCUUUUGUAUAAUGGGUCAGCGACUUAUAUUCUGUAGCAAGGUUAACCGUAUAGGGGAGCCGAAGGGAAACCGAGUCUUAACUGGGCGUUAAGUUGCAGGGUAUAGACCCGAAACCCGGUGAUCUAGCCAUGGGCAGGUUGAAGGUUGGGUAACACUAACUGGAGGACCGAACCGACUAAUGUUGAAAAAUUAGCGGAUGACCUGUGGCUGGGGGUGAAAGGCCAAUCAAACCGGGAGAUAGCUGGUUCUCCCCGAAAGCUAUUUAGGUAGCGCCUCGUGAACUCAUCUUCGGGGGUAGAGCACUGUUUCGGCUAGGGGGCCAUCCCGGCUUACCAACCCGAUGCAAACUACGAAUACCGAAGAAUGUUAUCACGGGAGACACACGGCGGGUGCUAACGUCCGUCGUGAAGAGGGAAACAACCCAGACCGCCAGCUAAGGUCCCAAAGUCAUGGUUAAGUGGGAAACGAUGUGGGAAGGCACAGACAGCCAGGAUGUUGGCUUAGAAGCAGCCAUCAUUUAAAGAAAGCGUAAUAGCUCACUGGUCGAGUCGGCCUGCGCGGAAGAUGUAACGGGGCUAAACCAUGCACCGAAGCUGCGGCAGCGACGCUUAUGCGUUGUUGGGUAGGGGAGCGUUCUGUAAGCCGUUGAAGGUGUGCUGUGAGGCAUGCUGGAGGUAUCAGAAGUGCGAAUGCUGACAUAAGUAACGAUAAAGCGGGUGAAAAGCCCGCUCGCCGGAAGACCAAGGGUUCCUGUCCAACGUUAAUCGGGGCAGGGUGAGUCGACCCCUAAGGCGAGGCCGAAAGGCGUAGUCGAUGGGAAACAGGUUAAUAUUCCUGUACUUGGUGUUACUGCGAAGGGGGGACGGAGAAGGCUAUGUCAGCCGGGCGACGGUUGUCCCGGUUUAAGCAUGUAGGCGGAGGUUCCAGGUAAAUCCGGUACCUUAUUAACGCUGAGGUGUGAUGACGAGGCACUACGGUGCUGAAGUGAUAAAUGCCCUGCUUCCAGGAAAAGCCUCUAAGCAUCAGGUAACACGAAAUCGUACCCCAAACCGACACAGGUGGUCAGGUAGAGAAUACCAAGGCGCUUGAGAGAACUCGGGUGAAGGAACUAGGCAAAAUGGUGCCGUAACUUCGGGAGAAGGCACGCUGAUGUGUAGGUGAAGCCCCUGCGGGUGGAGCUGAAAUCAGUCGAAGAUACCAGCUGGCUGCAACUGUUUAUUAAAAACACAGCACUGUGCAAACACGAAAGUGGACGUAUACGGUGUGACGCCUGCCCGGUGCCGGAAGGUUAAUUGAUGGGGUUAGCGGCAACGCGAAGCUCUUGAUCGAAGCCCCGGUAAACGGCGGCCGUAACUAUAACGGUCCUAAGGUAGCGAAAUUCCUUGUCGGGUAAGUUCCGACCUGCACGAAUGGCGUAAUGAUGGCCAGGCUGUCUCCACCCGAGACUCAGUGAAAUUGAACUCGCUGUGAAGAUGCAGUGUACCCGCGGCAAGACGGAAAGACCCCGUGAACCUUUACUAUAGCUUGACACUGAACACUGGUCCUUGAUGUGUAGGAUAGGUGGGAGGCUUUGAAGCGUGGACGCCAGUCUGCGUGGAGCCAACCUUGAAAUACCACCCUUUAAUGGCUGGUGUUCUAACGUAGACCCGUAAUCCGGGUUGCGGACAGUGUCUGGUGGGUAGUUUGACUGGGGCGGUCUCCUCCCAAAGAGUAACGGAGGAGCACGAAGGUUGGCUAAUCCUGGUCGGACAUCAGGAGGUUAGUGCAAUGGCAUAAGCCAGCUUGACUGCGAGCGUGACGGCGCGAGCAGGUGCGAAAGCAGGUCAUAGUGAUCCGGUGGUUCUGAAUGGAAGGGCCAUCGCUCAACGGAUAAAAGGUACUCCGGGGAUAACAGGCUGAUACCGCCCAAGAGUUCAUAUCGACGGCGGUGUUUGGCACCUCGAUGUCGGCUCAUCACAUCCUGGGGCUGAAGUAGGUCCCAAGGGUAUGGCUGUUCGCCAUUUAAAGUGGUACGCGAGCUGGGUUUAGAACGUCGUGAGACAGUUCGGUCCCUAUCUGCCGUGGGCGCUGGAGAAUUGAGGGGGGCUGCUCCUAGUACGAGAGGACCGGAGUGGACGCAUCACUGGUGUUCGGGUUGUCAUGCCAAUGGCACUGCCCGGUAGCUAAAUGCGGAAGAGAUAAGUGCUGAAAGCAUCUAAGCACGAAACUUGCCCCGAGAUGAGUUCUCCCUGAGACUUUAAGUCUCCUGAAGGAACGUUGAAGACGACGACGUUGAUAGGUCGGGUGUGUAAGCGCAGCGAUGCGUUGAGCUAACCGAUACUAAUGAACCGUGAGGCUUAACCUU
rnacentral:rRNA from 2 species